AGCGAACGCUGGCGGCAGGCCUAACACAUGCAAGUCGAACGAAGCCUUCGGGCUUAGUGGCGGACGGGUGAGUAACACGUGGGAACGUACCUUUUGGUUCGGAACAACUCAGGGAAACUUGAGCUAAUACCGGAUGAGCCCUUAGGGGGAAAGAUUUAUCGCCGAAAGAGCGGCCCGCGUUAGAUUAGCUAGUUGGUGAGGUAAAGGCUAACCAAGGCUACGAUCUAUGGCUGGUCUGAGAGGAUGAUCAGCCACACUGGGACUGAGACACGGCCCAGACUCCUACGGGAGGCAGCAGUGGGGAAUCUUGCGCAAUGGGCGAAAGCCUGACGCAGCCAUGCCGCGUGAAUGAUGAAGGUCUUAGGAUUGUAAAAUUCUUUUACCAGGGACGAUAAUGACGGUACCUGGAGAAAAAGCCCCGGCUAACUUCGUGCCAGCCGCCGCCGUAAAAC
rnacentral:rRNA from 1 species